UUCCGGUUGAUCCCGCCGGAGGCCACUGCUAUGGGGGUCCGACUAAGCCAUGCGAGUCAUGGGGCGCCUUGUGCGCACCGGCGGACGGCUCAGUAACACGUCGGUAACCUACCCUCGGGAGGGGGAUAACCCCGGGAAACUGGGGCUAAUCCCCCAUAGGCCUGAGGUACUGGAAGGUCCUCAGGCCGAAAGGGGCUCUGCCCGCCCGAGGAUGGGCCGGCGGCCGAUUAGGUAGUUGGUGGGGUAACGGCCCACCAAGCUGAAGAUCGGUACGGGCCAUGAGAGUGGGAGCCCGGAGAUGGACACUGAGACACGGGUCCAGGCCCUACGGGGCGCAGCAGGCGCGAAACCUCCGCAAUGCGGGCAACCGCGACGGGGGGACCCCCAGCGCCGUGGCAUCGCCACGGCUUUUCCGGAGUGUAAAGAGCUCCGGGAAUAAGGGCUGGGCAAGGCCGGUGGCAGCCGCCGCGGUAAUACCGGCGGCCCGAGUGGUGGCCGCUAUUAUUGGGCCUAAAGCGUCCGUAGCCGGGCCCGUAAGUCCCUGGCGAAAUCCCACGGCUCAACCGUGGGGCUUGCUGGGGAUACUGCGGGCCUUGGGACCGGGAGAGGCGGAGGGUACUCCUGGGGUAGGGGUGAAAUCCUAUAAUCCCAGGAGGACCGCCAGUGGCGAAGGCGCUCCGCUGGAACGGGUCCGACGGUGAGGGACGAAGGCCAGGGGAGCGAACCGGAUUAGAUACCCGGGUAGUCCUGGCUGUAAAGGAUGCGGGCUAGGUGUCGGGCGAGCUUCGUGCUCGCCCGGUGCCGAAGGGAAGCCGUUAAGCCCGCCGCCUGGGGAGUACGGCCGCAAGGCUGAAACUUAAAGGAAUUGGCGGGGGAGCACUACAAGGGGUGGAGCGUGCGGUUUAAUUGGAUUCAACGCCGGA
rnacentral:rRNA from 1 species